GAUGAACGCUAGCGACAGGCUUAAUACAUGCAAGUCGAACGAGAAAAACUUCUUCGGAAGUUGAGUAGAGUGGCGAAAGGGUGAGUAACACGUAUGCAAUCUGCCCCGUUCUGGAGGAUACCUCUUGGAAACGAGAAAUAAUACUCCGUAUAAUUCCCUUGACGCAUGUCAGGGGAAUGAAAGUUCCGGCGGAACGGGAAGAGCAUGGGUCCUAUUAGCUAGUUGGUAAGGUAACUGCUUACCAAGGCAAUGAUGGGUAGGGGUUCUGAGAGGAAGGUCCCCCACACUGACACUGAGAUACGGGUCAGACUCCUACGGGAGGCAGCAGUAAGGAAUAUUGGUCAAUGGGCGAAAGCCUGAACCAGCCAUGCCGUGUGCAGGACGAAGCUUUUAGGAGUGUAAACUGCUUUUUUAUGAGAACAAAGAGCUCCUGCGGGAGAAGUUGAGCGUAUCAUAAGAAUAAGUACCGGCUAACUACGUGCCAGCAGCCGCGGUAAUGUCGUACGAUC
rnacentral:rRNA from 1 species